rnacentral:tRNA from 1 species
GCCAAUGUGGCGUAGUGGUUUGAGUGUUGGACUCUGACUAUGGAGACCUGGGUUCGAUUCCCCACUUGGUCA